rnacentral:rRNA from 1 species
CUAACAAGGAUUCCCCUAGUAACUGCGAGUGAAGCGGGAAAAGCUCAAAUUUAAAAUCUGGUAGUCUUUGGCUGCCCGAGUUGUAAUCUAGAGAAGCGUUAUCCGCGCUGGACCGUGUAUAAGUCUCCUGGAAUGGAGCGUCAUAGAGGGUGAGAAUCCCGUCUUUAACACGGACUACCAGGGCUUUGUGAUGCGCUCUCAAAGAGUCGAGUUGUUUGGGAAUGCAGCUCUAAAUGGGUGGUAAAUUCCAUCUAAAGCUAAAUAUUGGCGAGAGACCGAUAGCGAACAAGUACCGUGAGGGAAAGAUGAAAAGAACUUUGGAAAGAGAGUUAAACAGUACGUGAAAUUGUUGAAAGGGAAACGCUUGAAGUCAGUCGCGUUGACCAGGGAUCAACCUUGCUUUUGCUUGGYGUACUUCCUGAUUAACGGGUCAGCAUCAAUUUUGAUCAGUGGAAAAAGGCAAAGGGAAUGUGGCAUCUCUGGAUGUGUUAUAGCCCUAGGUCGUAUACACUGGUUGGGAUUGAGGAACUCAGCACGCCGCAAGGCCGGGUUUUCAACCACGUUCGUGCUUAGGAUGCUGGCAUAAUGGCUUUAAUCGACCC